CAGUAAAUAGUUUAUAUAAAAUAAUAACUUUGGAGGUUAAAGAUGAGAUUAUCUUUUUACUGA
rnacentral:tRNA from 1 species